AUUGCUUCAUGUUCAAGAUUUUUAUUACAAUUGAUAUAACUGGAAUUGCCAAUUUAAAUCAAAGAGAUAAAGUAUUUCAAAUUAAGGUAUAAUAAAUAGCCCAUUAAGGGAGCACUUAAAACCGAAAAAAAAAAUCGAAUAAAUUAAUAUGAUUGACGCAAUAUGAUUGACGCAACUCUUAACCUUAAUAAAUAUACAGGAUUUUUAUCUUCA